CUUGACCUGUGCGACCCCGCGGCCCGGGCGCCCAGCGCUGCCCUAGUCCCCGAGACCCCGCCCGGGCGCCGGACCUUGCGAUCGGGCUGCGGAGGGCGAGGAGACCUUCCCCGGACCCGCUCCUUUCCAGGCCGCUGGAGCCUCUGCGGGCAGAGCACCCCAGGGAAGGAAGGCAGGUCCUGGGCCGGGAUCUGCCCGGCCCCCUCUGUCCCCUCAGGCGAGCUGUAGGCUCCGGAAUUUCUGUUGCCCGAGGCGGUCAUGGAAGCCCGAACCGCUGCGAGUCAGCCCUAAAACCUAGGUGUGGUGGGGGGGGGGAUUGAACUCAGGUCUUUGCGCUUGCACCGCAGGCGGCGAAGCCACUGAGCUAAAUUCCCGGCCCGGCCGUCGAUGUGUCAUUCUUAACCUUCCUCUACUCUCUGCUUAGGAGCCAGCCAUGAAGAAAUUCCUUAAAAAAAAAAAAAAAAAAGUCAAGCGCGGUGAGUGGCUCACAACAGUUCCAGCUACUGGAAGGCUGAGACAGGAGGGUAGCAAGAUGGGGCCCUGCCUGGGCAAUUUAGUCAGACCCUGUUUCAAAAUAAUGAAAAGGCUGAAGAUUUAGCUCCGCACUCCUCAAGUUCAAUUCCAAGAAAAGUCUGGUAUUUUAUUUGAGUUUUUGUGACAAUAAGAAAUGGUUCGCUAAGCCAGAUGGGAUGGUCCUGGGCACCCUACCGAAACAGUCUGUGUGUGUGUGUGUCUCUCUCUCUUCUUUUGUUGCUUUGUUGUUUUUUUUUUUUCUUUUUCGGUACCGGGGAUCAAACUCAGGACCUUGUGCUUGCAAGGCAGGCGCCGAAACCACUGAGCUAAAUCCUCGGCCCCUGUUGCUUUGCUUUUUGAGACUUGGUCUCACUAUGAACCCCAGGCUGGCCUCGAACUCCCGAUGAUCCUCCUGCCUCAGCACCCCCGAGUUUUGGGGUCACACCCGUGGGCCACCACACCCGGGGCUGGGUUUCUGCAGCAGGUGCCUGGCCACCAGCAGUCACACAGUCCCUGAGCCUGUGGAGACAUCAGAGAGCUCUGGGCACAGGUGCCCACCUGGGGUAGGAGAAGGAGGAGGAGAUGCCAGAGGCCAAGCUGAGCCCCAGUGGGUGGGGAGAGCUGGGGCGCAGGAUAGCAGAGAAGGAAGCUCUAGCUCAGGGGCCCCAGCCUGUUUAUCCCAGCCUGGCCCGAAACGUCACUGCGUCCACGCGUCGCCUUCCACGAGGUGUUGGAUCCCUGUCGCCCCUUAAGGGGUCCCAAGGUGGCACAGGCAGGAGGACACGUGGACCCGUGGCAAGGCGCUGUCGUGGUGACAGCAGGAUGAGAGAGAUGCUCUGCUUGCUUCACCACACUGUGUUGGUGGAGAGGGAGAAAUCAAACACACAGAAUCCUAAGUAAAUUCUACAGAGCAGAGGUUGGCGCUUCCUGGGCGUGCUGGGCGUCCUGGAAGCUUUGGGGGGAAGGUAAUGCCGUGCAAUCUUUUCCCUGCUGCCACCCUUUUUUCUUUAUUCUCCUCUCCCUCCCUUCAUGGUUCGCUCUGUUUCCUUCCUUCCUUUCUUUCUCCCUUCCUCCCUCCCUCCUUCCUUCCCUCCUUCCUUCCCUCCUUCUCUUCCCCAGGGUUUGAACCCCACAGCGUUAGAGAGGGGCCUUGACCUAUGUGUGUAAAACGGGCUGCCUGCUGCACAUGCAGGAAGGAGGCCAAGGUAUACACCGUGUGGAAAUAAAAACAUAAACUCGCACCAAGUGACCAUAGCAGCAUUAUUCACUAUAGCUCAAAGGUGGAAGGCAUCUGUUCGUCAGCUAAUGAGUGGAUAAACAAAAUGUCAUAUAAUCACAAAAUGGACUAUUACUCAGCUGUAAAAAGGGAUGAGGUAUUGCUGCGUGCUGCAGCAUGGGUAAACCUUGUACAUAUUAUGCUAAAAGAAAGGAAAAAGGGCCCAUGGGAAAUGUCCAGAAGAAGCCAGUCUAGGGAUAUAAAGUACAGUAGUGAUUGCCUCAGUGGAGGGGAGGUGGCAAUUUGGGAAGUGAUACUAAAAGGCAUGUGGUAGUAAGAUUGCUCUCAGCUGGAUGCAGGGGUGGCUGCAUGUUGCUGGGAAUACACAAGAUUCUUGAAUUGUACUUUUAUUUUGUGUCACGUAAGUCGAUUAUUAUGUUUAGUCCUGAAAGUAUGUUUCCCCUCAAAAGAAGGGUUCGUGAAAGUUUCAUUAUACCCGGGAAGAAUUGUACAAUUUAUUUAUUGUGUUUUUUGUCUGCUUUUUGAGAUGGGGUCUCAGUAUAUAGCCCAGGCUGGCCUUGAACUUGUGGCAAUCCUCCUGCCUCAGCUUUCUGAGUGCUGGGAUGACAGGUGUGCGCCACCACGCCAGGCUGGAGUUGCACAUUCUACAUGGGUAAAAAGCGUGGCAAAGGGCCAGGGAUUUAUCUCAGUGUUUUCACCACCUGCUGUCCAAGCGCAAGGACCUGAGUUUGAUCCCCGGUACCAAAAAAAAAAAUUUGUGGCAUGUCAGUUAGAUUUCAGUACUGAUGUUAUGAAAAAGUUGAUUGGGAAGUCCUGGAAAAUAGGAACCGUUCUUUUUGUUUUCUGUCAAUUUGGAGGUCUCUUGUCUGAAGAAAUACCUGAGUUGUUCUUCACCGGCAAGUCCUAUUAAUCUCAUUUCCUCAGCCCUCUUGGUGACCGUCUCUGUCCCCCGGAGGAGACCCUGGUGGGGCAGCUUCCGACUGAGGGUCUUGGUACCCACAGGCUCUGCAGGGCUGACAGAUGCCUGGUCAGUCCUCUUCCCAGGUGUGGCCUUUGAGGAGUGACUCCGGAUCUGGGGGUCCUCUCUUUAGCCUGCAGGACCCAAGGCAGGGCCUCGCAGUCCUGUGAGCCCUUUGGUCACUGGGGCUGAGCGGAAGCCUGCAGCCUGAGGCCCCGCCAUGGCCGCUUUAUCCACCCGGACAGCAUCCUGGUCCCUUGGUCCGACUUCCUUCAGCCCGGUCUCCACUGCUCUCCACCUGCGCUGUGGCAGGAGUAGAUCCUCACGCUGGGCUUUCCAAUGAGCCGUCCAACCCUGUAUUCCCCAACUUCACAACCUUUGACAUUUAGACUGAAGAGUUUUUAAAAACGGGAGGGGACAUAAGAAGAAUUAAGAGGUGCUGUGUACCUGCACCGACCCCCAUGGGGACUGCAAACAUGGACUGAGGGAAAAGCAAAAGGACUCGGGCCUCCUCAGGGGCCCCUUUGGGUGUUCUCAGGGCCUGCUGUUGGGCAGUGACACGUGACCACAUCUGAGGGGUUCAGGCUUCAUUUUGCAAGGGUCUCCGGAGGCUGCAGCAGGGCUGCAGCGGGCCCGCACCUGCCGAGGGGAGAGGCUGGUGGUGCCCGUUUGUGCCAGCUGAGGCUGCCUGGCCUGGACAGUCAGCCUGGGUGACCUGGACGGCAGCCAAGGCUGGGAGUCCCUCCCGGGGCGCCCUGAAGCAGACGGGAGCUGAGUAGGCCAGGGUGACUUAGCAAGAAAAACAGUGAGACAGGGCCACCCAGGAAGGCUUGGGGCUCCGCUCUGUUUCUGGAGGACGCGUGGGUGACAGGUGGCACCUCCAUUACCCCCGUGGCUGCUGACGGCUGUGACGGGGACUUGACUCCAAACAGCCAGGCAGCCUCUCUGCGCUCGGCUGCACCUGGGAUUCACUGGUGUGACCAGAGCUGGGCUUUCCAAAUCCCUUCGCCGGAAACCAUGCGAAUCAAAAUACUGCCAGGGAAGGGAGGAAGAGAAGUAGCUCCCGUUCCCAGGGCUGAAAAUCGUCUCCGAUUUCUCUUCUGUAAAUCACACCCGAGUUUGGAAGGUCAGGCGUGCGUCGCACCAUGGGGAGCUGAGCUGGGCAGAGGCAGAGGGGCCGAGGACCUGCUUCCCGGGACUCCAGGUGGGGGUCCUCCCACACGGCGAGCCUCUGUGCAGGGCCCAGGGAGGAGCUCCCAGGGGGACGUGUGACGGCUGCUCAAGGACAGAGCAAAGACCCCGAGUGUCACCCCGAAAGCUCCCGGUUUGUCUGAGGUGCCUCUUUAGCGGCCCCUCACAGUCUCCACACACUCCCAGUGCUGGGGCUCCGGAUUUGACUCGGGAGGGGUCACGGUGCAGUGCUUCGGACCUUGGAGACCCAGAGAGGAAACGGGACAUUCCUGACUGGAUGUGUCCCGAUCAAGCAGGGAGCCGGGAAAAGCGGGCAAAGGCCGGCGUUCCCUCCACGGAUGUCAACAAGACUCAAUCCUGUGACAGGUGCCGCCCGGUGCUGGGAGUUGAACUCUGCCACAUCGAAUGUGAGAUCCAUCAGUAAUGAAAGGAAAUUUCCUCAAAGACAACUGCAACAGCGAAUGAUCUUUCCUCUGGUCAUUUAAAAACGUCUCUGCGGUAUUUCUCGGUCUGUAAGUGGAGCCACUGUUCGCUCAGGUUUUUAUCCUGUAAGCAAACAUCUUUAUCGGUCUUACAUGGAGCGCUGUGUAGCUGCCUGCCUGCCACCUGAGUCUAGAGCAGACUUUAUGCUGUCAGCUGCCCCAGAGGGCGGGACCUACCGACUGCCUGUAGUCAAGAGAGGCUCAGCAGCCCGGAACUGGCAGCCGCCGGAGAGAGAGGAAGGGAGGCUGGGGCACUACCAACGUCAUGCGCCAGUCACGCGCCACAGGGCAGCCGGACUGGGCCAGGCGCGCUUCCCAUCUUGCUGACGUCAUCGGCACCGCCCCUGCACCUCUGCCCCCCCCCCCCCCCCCCGCUGGGGACCAGCGAGGGCGGUCGGUGGCAGAGCUGGGUCCUCCGUGGGGCUCGGACUGGCCCAGCUGCUGCUUCUGUCCCGUGGGGACAGCUCCGGUGACUGUGCUCUCCCCGAAAGACAGCGCUGUGCCGGCAUCAGCUUGGGGCCUGGAAACCUGAGAACGGGGGCCUCCUACUCCAAGCUCUCAGAUAUUUUGGCCCAACCCACAGUGCAAGUGGGAGAGGGGUUUCCCGGCCUGGCCAGCAGGGUUGGGGAGGAAAAGGGUAAACUGUCACCACUUCAGGGCACCGUGGCUGCUCGAACUCACCUCGGUACCAGUGAUACGUGCUACGGAGAACAGCCUGAGAGCUUGUGAAGUUUAGAAACCCUGACAGGCGUGCUGCGGAUGGCUAAUAAAUAAUUCUCAAAAAUG